rnacentral:lncRNA from 1 species
AUCACCAUAGCAAUCGCAAAACCACCACACCUCCACAUCUACAACACACCACAUGUACAACGAACCACCACCAUAACCACCAUAUCCCCUCUCUCCAUCUACAUUAGGGAUGGCAAUCGGACUCGCCGGCUCGAACCGUCGGUGGCUUGGCUCGGAAAAAGUUUGAGCCUGCCUAGCUCGAGGCUCAGGCCGAGCCCCAUUUUUAGAUGUCGGGCAAAGCUCAAGCCGACCCGUGUGGCUCAUCGGCUUGAAGCAUAUAUUAAAAAAAAUUAAAAAAAAAUAAUAAAAGGAAGCACGCUGCCAUUUAAGACAGCUUAUUUAAGCUGCCAUUUAGUUACUGCCAUUUUAUUUAAUAAUAAAAAAAAUUGCAAAAUCAAAAAGAACUCGAGCCGGACAAGCUCGGCUUGGAAAGGCCUGAACGAAAAGCUCGAAUAUUUUACUCGAGUCGAGCCCGAGCCUAGAAUUUCGACUCAAGAGUCGGUUCGGCUCGUUGACAUCCCUAAUCUACACCACACCAUAACCACCACCCCAACCAAAAAAUCCACAAAUCCAUCGCCAUCACCAAUGUUUGCACCACCUCCUCCAAGACCACAACAAAACAUGCCGCAAAAAUCACCACAUAAACCAAUGCAAAAUAACCAUACAAACGAUCGUUGCUAAUUGCAAUGCCAUAGAAACAUCUAAAAGUAGUACUGUGAUCUAUAACCAUUGGAGAAAUAUUCAGAUAGCCGCUAUGAUUUGUAAUGCCAGAGAAAAGUUCAGAUCCGCAAAGCAACGCUAUGACCAGGCAAAACCCCGAAGGCGCGUUGCCUCAACUCUGCCCACAAAGGCGUCGCACGACAGCGCCAUGCCUCAAAUCCAGCACCUUGCGAAGAGUCGCAUCGCGGUUGCGUAGAGCGGCGCAUGCGCGUAGAGGCGUAGUUCUGCAGCUGCUCUUCGAAUAUAGCUCCUCAACGUCGAAGUUUGGUGUGUCGUCGGAGAGAGGAAAUUGUAGAAAGAAGAAAGUGAACAAUGAUUUAGGGUUUGG